AGCGAACGCUGGCGGCAGGCUUAACACAUGCAAGUCGAGCGGGCAUCCUUGUGGUGUCAGCGGCAGACGGGUGAGUAACGCGUGGGAACGUGCCCUUCGGUUCGGAAUAACUCAGGGAAACUUGAGCUAAUACCGGAUACGUGCGAGAGCAGAAAGGUUUAUCUGCCGAAGGAUCGGCCCGCGUCUAAUUAGCUAGUUGGUGAGGUUAUGGCUCACCAAGGCGACGAUCAGUAGCUGGUCUGAGAGGAUGAUCAGCCACACUGGGACUGAGACACGGCACAGAAUCCUACGGGAGGCAGCAGUGGGGAAUAUUGGACAAUGGGGGCAAUCCUGAUCCAGCCAUGCCGCGUGAAUGAUGACGGCCUUAGGGUUGUAAAGCUCUUUUCUCCGGGCCGAUAAUGACGGUACCGGAGGAAUAAGCCCCGGCUAACUUCGUG
rnacentral:rRNA from 1 species